GACGAACGCUGGCGGCGUGCUUAACACAUGCAAGUCGAACGGAAAGGCCCUGCUUUUGUGGGGUGCUCGAGUGGCGAACGGGUGAGUAGCACGUGAGUAACCUGCCCUUAACUUUGGGAUAACUUCAGGAAACUGGGGCUAAUACCGGAUAGGAGCUCCUGCUGCAUGGUGGGGGUUGGAAAGUUUCGGCGGUUGGGGAUGGACUCGCGGCUUAUCAGCUUGUUGGUGGGGUAGUGGCUUACCAAGGCUUUGACGGGUAGCCGGCCUGAGAGGGUGACCGGCCACAUUGGGACUGAGAUACGGCCCAGACUCCUACGGGAGGCAGCAGUGGGGAAUAUUGCACAAUGGGCGGAAGCCUGAUGCAGCAACGCCGCGUGCGGGAUGACGGCCUUCGGGUUGUAAACCGCUUUCGCCUGUGACGAAGCGUGAGUGACGGUAAUGGGUAAAGAAGCACCGGCUAACUACGUG
rnacentral:rRNA from 1 species